UACGGAGGGUGCAAACGUUGCUCGGAAUCAUUGGGCGUAAAGCGCACGUAGGCGGCCUGUUAAGUCGGGUGUGAAAGCCCGGAGCUCAACUCCGGAACUGCCAUUGAAACUGUGAAACUUGAGGACGAGAGAGGUGAGUGGAAUUCCCAGUGUAGAGGUGAAAUUCGUAGAUAUUCGCAAGAACACCAGUGGCGAAGGCGGCUCACUGGCCCCGAGUACUGACGCUGAGGAGCGAAA
rnacentral:rRNA from 1 species